rnacentral:pre_miRNA from 1 species
AAUAAGUGCAGUUUUACACUAUUCACGUUCAACGUUUGACCGUUCGUCUUAUUUGAAAAUUUUUUUAUUAGUAUUUUAUUGCUAUUAGAUGAUAAAACAUGAAUAAUACUUUAUGUGUGACUAAUUUUUUUAAUUUUUUUCAUUAAUUUUUCAAAUAAGACGGACGGUCAAAUGUUGGACACGAAUAUCCACGGCUGCACUUGUU